AUUAGACGAAUCAUCUGGAAAGAUGAAUCAAAGAAGGUAAUAAUCCUGUAGUCGAAAAUGUUGUCUCUCUUGAGUGGAUCCUGAGUACGACGGAGCACGUGAAAUUCCGUCGGAAUCUGGGAGGACCAUCUCCUAAGGCUAAAUACUCUCUAGUGACCGAUAGUGAACCAGUACCGUGAGGGAAAGGUGAAAAGCACCCCGGAAGGGGAGUGAAAUAGAACCUGAAACCGUGUGCUUACAAGUAGUCAGAGCCCGUUAAUGGGUGAUGGCGUGCCUUUUGUAGAAUGAACCGGCGAGUUACGAUUUGAUGCAAGGUUAAGCAGUAAAUGUGGAGCCGUAGCGAAAGCGAGUCUGAAUAGGGCGUUUAGUAUUUGGUCGUAGACCCGAAACCAGGUGAUCUACCCUUGGUCAGGUUGAAGUUCAGGUAACACUGAAUGGAGGACCGAACCGACUUACGUUGAAAAGUGAGCGGAUGAACUGAGGGUAGCGGAGAAAUUCCAAUCGAACCUGGAGAUAGCUGGUUCUCUCCGAAAUAGCUUUAGGGCUAGCCUCAAGUGAUGAUUAUUGGAGGUAGAGCACUGUUUGGACGAGGGGCCCCUCUCGGGUUACCGAAUUCAGACAAACUCCGAAUGCCAAUUAAUUUAACUUGGGAGUCAGAACAUGGGUGAUAAGGUCCGUGUUCGAAAGGGAAACAGCCCAGACCACCAGCUAAGGUCCCAAAAUAUAUGUUAAGUGGAAAAGGAUGUGGCGUUGCCCAGACAACUAGGAUGUUGGCUUAGAAGCAGCCAUCAUUUAAAGAGUGCGUAAUAGCUCACUAGUCGAGUGACACUGCGCCGAAAAUGUACCGGGGCUAAACAUAUUACCGAAGCUGUGGAUUGUCCUUUGGACAAUGGUAGGAGAGCGUUCUAAGGGCGUUGAAGCAUGAUCGUAAGGACAUGUGGAGCGCUUAGAAGUGAGAAUGCCGGUGUGAGUA
rnacentral:rRNA from 1 species